UAAUUUUAUGUCCAGUACUGCA
rnacentral:misc_RNA from 1 species